CUACGGGCGGCUGCAGUGGGGAAUAUUGGACAAUGGGGGAAACCCUGAUCCAGCAAUGCCGCGUGUGUGAAGAAGGCCUGCGGGUUGUAAAGCACUUUCGGUCGGGAGGACUGCUUCUAGCACUAAUAUUGUUGGAAGUUGACGUUACCUUCAGAAGAAGCACCGGCUAACUCCGUGCCAGCAGCCACGGUAAUACGGAGGGUGCAAGCGUUAAUCGGAAUUACUGGGCGUAAAGCGCGCGUAGGCGGCUAGAUCAGUCGGGUGUGAAAGCCCCGGGCUUAACCUGGGAACUGCAUCCGAUACUGUCUAGCUUGAGUACAGGAGAGGAGAGUGGAAUUCCACAUGUAGCGGUGAAAUGCGUAGAUAUGUGGAGGAACACCAAUGGCGAAGGCAGCUCUCUGGCCUGAUACUGACGCUGAGGUGCGAAAGCGUGGGGAGCAAACAGGAUUAGAUACCCCUGUAGUC
rnacentral:rRNA from 1 species